AGCCUCGGUGGCGUAGUGGCAGCACCACCCGUGGAACGGUGUAGCGCGGGUUCAACUCCCGCCUGGGCUC